rnacentral:rRNA from 1 species
AGAGAGCUUGCUCUCGGGUGACGAGUGGCGGACGGGUGAGUAAUGUCUGGGAAACUGCCUGAUGGAGGGGGAUAACUACUGGAAACGGUAGCUAAUACCGCAUAACGUCGCAAGACCAAAGAGGGGGACCUUCGGGCCUCUUGCCAUCAGAUGUGCCCAGAUGGGAUUAGCUAGUAGGUGGGGUAACGGCUCACCUAGGCGACGAUCCCUAGCUGGUCUGAGAGGAUGACCAGCCACACUGGAACUGAGACACGGUCCAGACUCCUACGGGAGGCAGCAGUGGGGAAUAUUGCACAAUGGGCGCAAGCCUGAUGCAGCCAUGCCGCGUGUAUGAAGAAGGCCUUCGGGUUGUAAAGUACUUUCAGCGGGGAGGAAGGUGUUGUGGUUAAUAACCGCAGCAAUUGACGUUACCCGCAGAAGAAGCACCGGCUAACUCCGUGCCAGCAGCCGCGGUAAUACGGAGGGUGCAAGCGUUAAUCGGAAUUACUGGGCGUAAAGCGCACGCAGGCGGUCUGUCAAGUCGGAUGUGAAAUCCCCGGGCUCAACCUGGGAACUGCAUUCGAAACUGGCAGGCUAGAGUCUUGUAGAGGGGGGUAGAAUUCCAGGUGUAGCGGUGAAAUGCGUAGAGAUCUGGAGGAAUACCGGUGGCGA